AGCGAACGCUGGCGGCAGGCCUAACACAUGCAAGUCGAACGAAGCCUUCGGGCUUAGUGGCGGACGGGUGAGUAACACGUGGGAACGUACCUUUUGGUUCGGAACAACUCAGGGAAACUUGAGCUAAUACCGGAUGAGCCCUUAGGGGGAAAGAUUUAUCGCCGAAAGAGCGGCCCGCGUUAGAUUAGCUAGUUGGUGAGGUAAAGGCUCACCAAGGCUACGAUCUAUAGCUGGUCUGAGAGGAUGAUCAGCCACACUGGGACUGAAACACGGCCCAGACUCCUACGGGAGGCGGCAGUGGGGAAUCUUGCGCAAUGGGCGAAAGCGUGACGCAGCCAUGCCGCGUGAAUGAUGAAGGUCUUAGGAUUGUAAAAUUCUUUUACCAGGGACGAUAAUGACGGUACCUGGAGAAAAAGCCCCGGCUAACUUCGUGCCAGCCGCCGCCGUAAUAC
rnacentral:rRNA from 1 species